rnacentral:sRNA from 1 species
CUGCUGGGGACAAACGAGAUGCACAUGGGCGUCGAUGCCGCCCGCGGUGAGGAUGAGAUGCUCGCCGGAGAUGGCGUCCGUGGCGUUGCCCACCACGAGAUUCGGAUCCACAUGGUCCAUGACGGCGGGAUUGCCUGCCUUGCCGAUGCCCACGAUGCGGCCGUCGCGGAUGCCCACGUCGGCCUUGAUCACGCCCUGCACGGCGUCGACGAUGGUGGCGUUCGUGAUGACGAGAUCAAGCACGCCGUUGUCGCGCACGGAUUUCGCGUCGCCGCCCAUGCCGGCGCG